UGGUUAAAAAAAAUAGGAAAAAUUGCAAUUUUGGUUUUUCAGCUAUGCUCGUAGUACAAACUUAGUUCUUGAGUUAUAUGUGUGAUCAUCUUUAACCCC